CACCAUUAAAUAACUCUAACUCAAAAGAAAAGCUGCAAUGGUUAACAACAAAAUAGCAGAUUUCAUGAUUUCAUAAUGGAGAUAGCUUAGAUAUCAAAUGUUGUAAGUAAUAUUUAGCAUCUUCACUAAAAACAGGAGCCUACAAGCUCUCUAAUCCGUGUUCCAUUCUCACCUAUAAAUCAAAAACAACAGAAGGAACCAGCAAACAUCUACCACACUAAGAAUAGUUUCUUAAUUAAGCUGAUAGUAGUACUAGAGAAUAAGGGGUACUGCGUUGCCCGUAGCUUGACCAUUCUCUUAUACUCUGUUG
rnacentral:lncRNA from 1 species